GUUAAAUCGUUGAUUAGGCAGUAGCACUUGAAGACUUUUCAGGAAGCUUACGUUUAUUGGAAGUAAGCAAGUUUUAAGUGUGAAACACCCCUAGGAGUGUGUUGGCGAAUUUUGUAGUAGUCAGCAUCGGUUGUGCCCGUUAUGCACGGAUGUUUUUUUAAACGUCUUGAGACAGCGCCAGUGAUGGUGUUGUAGUAAUGAGGUGGGACCGCGUCUAUUCGCCCUCUAA
rnacentral:ncRNA from 1 species